rnacentral:snRNA from 1 species
GGAUGUGAGGGCGAUCUGGCUGUGACAUCUGUCCCUCCAUUAAUUGCCAGGGUUGAUUGGGCUGAUCUGGCUGGCUAGGCAGGUGUGUCUUUCCUCCCUCACUGCUCCAUAUGCAUCCCUCCUGGAGCUGCACACUUGGUCCAGGAGGAUGACCAUCCCCAACAGAGGAGGACCAUUCUUCCAUCAAAGUUAUAUGAGUAGCGGUGCUUCCCUGCUAGAACCUCCAAAUGAUCUCUCAAAAAAAAAGUCAUAGUAUUUGCAUUCUAUGUACACAUAAUAUACUUUAAAUCCUGUCUGGAUUGCUUACAAUACCUAAUA